rnacentral:rRNA from 1 species
UACGUAGGGGGCAAGCGUUGUCCGGAAUCAUUGGGCGUAAAGCGCGCGUAGGCGGCCCGGUAAGUCCGUUGUAAAAGUCAAAGGCUCAACCUUUGAAAGCCGAUGGAUACUGCCGGGCUAGAAUCCGGAAGAGGCGAGUGGAAUUCCUGGUGUAGCGGUGAAAUGCGCAGAUAUCAGGAGGAACACCAAUGGCGAAGGCAGCUCGCUGGGACGGUACUGACGCUGAGACGCGAAAGCGUUGGGAGCAAACAGG